rnacentral:lncRNA from 10 species
AACCUUUGCUGUCUUGGGACGGAUCACCGCUGCAAGAGGGGAAGUUGCUACUGUGAUGAAUUCUGCCAUGUGGCACCAGACUGCCACCCAGACCACAGUGUCCUCUGCAACCCUGGUAACUCACAUACAGGCCCGAUUCCACCUACAGCAAAGCUGGAUGCGAUGGCUGGCAGAGGCAAACCCUUUGCCUGCACUUCAGGCCAAAGCCGGGAUGUGGCCUAGAUGGUUCCUAAGCUUCUCAGAUGACCAAGAUGGUGCUGCAGAUGGUGCUGAGGAUGGAGAACCCACCAAGCCCCGCUAGGAGCCACCUAGACUGGAUGCAGAGCAUGGUUCAGUGAGUUCUCCAAACCAGCCUCCCAGGAAUGCCAUUCAACAUGGCUGUGAGGAGAAUAAAGAAGAGAGCCUGACUCCUCUCCUGAGGCCCCUUCCCCACCCUGAGCCAGCAGGAUCCACGGAGCAGAGGUCAUCUGUCCCCAGCUUGGCCCACUGAGGCCAGCAUGGCU